rnacentral:rRNA from 1 species
UAAGCGACUAAGCGUACACGGUGGAUGCCUAGGCAGUCAGAGGCGAUGAAGGGCGUGCUAAUCUGCGAAAAGCGUCGGUAAGCUGAUAUGAAGCGUUAUAACCGACGAUACCCGAAUGGGGAAACCCAGUGCAAUACGUUGCACUAUCGUUAGAUGAAUACAUAGUCUAACGAGGCGAACCGGGGGAACUGAAACAUCUAAGUACCCCGAGGAAAGAAAUCAACCGAGAUUCCCCCAGUAGCGGCGAGCGAACGGGGAGGAGCCCAGAGUCUGAAUCAGUUUGUGUGUUAGUGGAAGCGUCUGGAAAGUCGCACGGUACAGGGUGAUAGUCCCGUACACCAAAAUGCACAGGCUGUGAACUCGAUGAGUAGGGCGGGACACGUGACAUCCUGUCUGAAUAUGGGGGGACCAUCCUCCAAGGCUAAAUACUCCUGACUGACCGAUAGUGAACCAGUACCGUGAGGGAAAGGCGAAAAGAACCCCGGCGAGGGGAGUGAAAUAGAACCUGAAACCGUGUACGUACAAGCAGUGGGAGCACCUUCGUGGUGUGACUGCGUACCUUUUGUAUAAUGGGUCAGCGACUUAUAUUUUGUAGCAAGGUUAACCGAAUAGGGGAGCCGUAGGGAAACCGAGUCUUAACUGGGCGUCUAGUUGCAAGGUAUAGACCCGAAACCCGGUGAUCUAGCCAUGGGCAGGUUGAAGGUUGGGUAACACUAACUGGAGGACCGAACCGACUAAUGUUGAAAAAUUAGCGGAUGACUUGUGGCUGGGGGUGAAAGGCCAAUCAAACCGGGAGAUAGCUGGUUCUCCCCGAAAGCUAUUUAGGUAGCGCCUCGUGAACUCAUCUUCGGGGUAGAGCACUGUUUCGGCUAGGGGGCCAUCCCGGCUUACCAAACCGAUGCAAACUCCGAAUACCGAAGAAUGUUAUCACGGGAGACACACGGCGGGUGCUAACGUCCGUCGUGAAGAGGGAAACAACCCAGACCGCCAGCUAAGGUCCCAAAGUCAUGGUUAAGUGGGAAACGAUGUGGGAAGGCACAGACAGCCAGGAUGUUGGCUUAGAAGCAGCCAUCAUUUAAAGAAAGCGUAAUAGCUCACUGGUCGAGUCGGCCUGCGCGGAAGAUGUAACGGGCUAAACCAUGCACCGAAGCUGCGGCAGCGACGUUUAGGCGUUGUUGGGUAGGGGAGCGUUCUGUAAGCCGUUGAAGGUGACCUGUGAGGGUUGCUGGAGGUAUCAGAAGUGCGAAUGCUGACAUAAGUAACGAUAAUGCGGGUGAAAAACCCGCACGCCGGAAGACCAAGGGUUCCUGUCCAACGUUAAUCGGGGCAGGGUGAGUCGACCCCUAAGGCGAGGCUGAAAAGCGUAGUCGAUGGGAAACAGGUUAAUAUUCCUGUACUUGGUGUUACUGCGAAGGGGACGGAGAAGGCUAGGCUGGCCGGGCGACGGUUGUCCCGGUUUAAGCGUGUAGGGGGAGUGACCAGGUAAAUCCGGUUGCUUAUCAACCCUGAGGCGUGAUGACGAUGCACCACGGUGCAGAAGCAGUUGAUGCCAUGCUUCCAGGAAAAGCCUCUAAGCAUCAGGUAACAUUAAAUCGUACCCCAAACCGACACAGGUGGUCAGGUAGAGAAUACUCAGGCGCUUGAGAGAACUCGGGUGAAGGAACUAGGCAAAAUGGUGCCGUAACUUCGGGAGAAGGCACGCUGGCGUUAGGUGAAAGGACUAGCUCCUGGAGCUGAAGCCAGUCGCAGAUACCAGCUGGCUGCAACUGUUUAAUAAAACACAGCACUGUGCAAACACGAAAGUGGACGUAUACAGUGUGACGCCUGCCCGGUGCUGGAAGGUUAAUUGAUGGGGUCAGCCGCAAGGCGAAGCUCUUGAUCGAAGCCCCAGUAAACGGCGGCCGUAACUAUAACGGUCCUAAGGUAGCGAAAUUCCUUGUCGGGUAAGUUCCGACCUGCACGAAUGGCGUAAUGAUGGCCAGGCUGUCUCCACCCGAGACUCAGUGAAAUUGAACUCGCUGUGAAGAUGCAGUGUACCCGCGGCAAGACGGAAAGACCCCGUGAACCUUUACUAUAGCUUGACACUGAACAUUGAGCCUUGAUGUGUAGGAUAGGUGGGAGGCCUUGAAGUGUGGACGCCAGUCUGCAUGGAGCCAACCUUGAAAUACCACCCUUUAAUGUUUGAUGUUCUAACUCGGCCCCAUGAUCUGGGGUGAGGACAGUGUCUGGUGGGUAGUUUGACUGGGGCGGUCUCCUCCCAAAGAGUAACGGAGGAGCACGAAGGUUAGCUAAUCACGGUCGGACAUCGUGAGGUUAGUGCAAAGGCAUAAGCUAGCUUGACUGCGAGAGUGACGGCUCGAGCAGGUACGAAAGUAGGUCUUAGUGAUCCGGUGGUUCUGAAUGGAAGGGCCAUCGCUCAACGGAUAAAAGGUACUCCGGGGAUAACAGGCUGAUACCGCCCAAGAGUUCAUAUCGACGGCGGUGUUUGGCACCUCGAUGUCGGCUCAUCACAUCCUGGGGCUGAAGUAGGUCCCAAGGGUAUGGCUGUUCGCCAUUUAAAGUGGUACGCGAGCUGGGUUUAGAACGUCGUGAGACAGUUCGGUCCCUAUCUGCCGUGGGCGUUGGAAGAUUGAGAGGGGCUGCUCCUAGUACGAGAGGACCGGAGUGGACGAAUCACUGGUGUUCGGGUUGUCAUGCCAAUGGCAUUGCCCGGUAGCUAAAUUCGGAAGAGAUAACCGCUGAAAGCAUCUAAGCGGGAAACUUGCCUCGAGAUGAGUCUUCCCUGGGGCUUAAAGCCCCCUGAAGGAACGUUAAAGACUAUGACGUUGAUAGGCUGGGUGUGUAAGUGCAGCGAUGUAUUGAGCUAACCAGUACUAAUGAUCCGUGAGGCUUAACCU